rnacentral:rRNA from 1 species
UACGGGAGGGUGCGAGUACGUUAAGUACGGUAAUUACGUGGGACGUAAAGCGCAUGACGAGGUUGGUUUAGUUAAGUCAGAUGUAGAAACGGCCCGGGGCUACAACCGUACGGUAAUUGCUAUUUAGAAACGUGGACAAACUAGAGUACUGUAGGAGGGGGUAGAAUUUCAGGUGUAGCGGUGAAAUGCGUAGAGAUCUGAAGGAAUACCGGUGGCGAAGGCGGCCCCCUGGACAGAUACUGACACUCAGAUGCGAAAGCGUGGGGAGCAAACAGGAUUAGAUACCCUGGUAG